UGAUUUUUAACUAUAUUGUUUCUUUCUGUUGGAUCACAUAUUAUUAGCUUUCUAUUAUAUAAAAAAAUCUAUUAAUUUCUAUAAAUGUAGGUGAAGUAAUGUAACACCCCACUCUGGAUGAUCAGUAGCUACGGUCUUGGGUUUGGCUUAAAAUUCGUACUCCUAAGACCCACUAGGCCUUAACCUGACAGCAGGUUCACUUAGAAGGAUAUAGGACUGGAAAUACAUCAUGACUACAGUCAUAAACAGAAGUCUUUAUUGCAAUCUAGGAGCCAUUUUCAAGCCCCCUGAGAGAACAGCGUAGGUGCAAGAGAAGAAAGAUCACAUUAGGUGAAUUUUGUGGUUAAGAGCAACAAAGCAUCAGCUGGUGAACAAAGCAUCACCAGCAUCAACAAAGUGAAGCUGGCAUCAGCUUCACCUGGGAACUUGUUAGAAAUGCAAGGUCUUGGCUCCUACCCUAGAGCUACUAAAUCAGAAACUCUGGGGGUAGAGCCCAACAAUCUAUGUUUUAACAUGCCUUCUGUGGGAUGUAGUUUGAUAACCAUUGUUCUGUAGAAACCAGUGUCUUGUGAAAGCCUAUUAGUAAUAUUCCAAGUUCCUUCAGCUAAAGACAUGAUCAGUUACAGGAGUUAGACUCAGUCAUGGAAGCCAAAAAUCUUAACUUCCUAAUGGAAGUUAAUGUCCACUCAUGGUUCUACUAGUCCCAAUUAGGAGACAUUCUUAGAAUAAGCAGAGUUGCCUGGUGACACAGGUAAAUUUAUCUUUAUUUUAACUCAGUAUUUGCUAGCUAAAUGUGUUAGAAGAAAGUAAAACUCAGAUCAUUUUCCCAUGGAGAAAGGGAAAGUUUUAGUAACUGUUUCUCCCCAAGUAAUUUUAAAUUAUUUAUGUAAUUAUAGAUAUGUAAUAUAAUGAGUUGCUAGUAAUAGAGACUUUUAAAUAUCAGAUGAAAUGUAAAUGUUGUCGCUGAUAUUUCAGCACUCAGAGUUAGAAUUUAAUACUUAAUUUCAUGGAAGUAAAGAGGAACAUUGAAUACUAUUAACAUCAGGAGGGAAGCCGAGGCCUGGGCUACGCGUGGUGGUGAUGGUGGCCAGAGGGGCCGUGGAAGACUGCACCCCCGGGGGCCACUACCGCCCCUUUGCCUGACCCAGCCCCGUUGCUCGCCCUGGGACGCUUGUUCCGGCCCAUCAGCACCGAGGACGAGGAGCAGCAAACUCACUAAGAUUGAGUCCUUGUGCAUGAACUGUUACAGCAACAGCAUAACGCGCCUCCUGCUCCCCAAGAUCCCCUUCUUCAGAGAAAUAAUAGCUCCUUUUCCUGUGAGCACUGUGGCUGGAACAACACAGAGAUCCAGUUGGCAGGCAGGAUCCAGGACCAGGGAGUGCAUUACACUUUGACUAUCAGGGCCCAGGAGGACAUUAACAGAGAAGUAGUGAAGACUGACUGGGUCUGCCACCACAAGGAUCCCUAAGCUGGAUUUUGAAAUUUCUGCCUUCAGCCAGAAGGGAGCUCUGACCACUGUUGAAGGAUUGAUCAACUGUGCUAUCUUUGUCCUGGAGGAGGACCAGCCCAUGAAGGGCAAAUAAAGAUGCCACAGCUGAGAGAAUUGAUGAGUUCAUUGUCAAACUGAAGGACCUAAAGCAAGAGGCCACCCCUUUCACUCUGAUUAUUGAUGAUCCUGCAGGGAAUAGCUUUGUGGAAAACCCCCAUGCUCCCCAGAAAGAUGAUGCCUUGGUGAUCACACACUACAACCGGACCCUACUGCAAGAAGAGAUGCUGGAACUCCAAGAAGAAGCUCCAGCAGAGAAGCCACAAGAGGAAUAUCUCAGAAAUGAAGUUCUGCAAUUCAACACAAACUGCCCAGAAUGCAAUGCACCGGCUCAGACCAACAUGAAGCUAGUACAAAUCCCUCACUUUAAGGAAGUUAUCAUCAUGGCUACCAACUGCGAGAACUGUGGGCAUUGGACCAAUGAGGUGAAAUCUGGAGGAGCGGUAGAGCCUUUGGGCACCAGGAUCACGUUCCACAUCACAGAUCCCUCAGAUAUGACCAGAGACCUCAAGUCUGAGACGUGUAGUGUGGAAAUUCCGGAGCUAGAAUUUGAACUGGGCAUGGCUCUCCUCGGGGGCAAGUUCACCACACUGGAGGGACUGCUGAAAGACAUCCGGGAACUGGUGACCAAGAACCCUUUCACACUGGGCGGCAGUUCCAAUCCUGGCCAAAUGGAAACUGCAGGAGUUUAGCCAGAAGUUGGACCAGAUCAUUGAGGGUAACAUGAAGGCCCACUUUAUCAUGGAUGAUCCAGCAGGAAACAGUUACUUGCAGAAUGUGUAUGCACCCGAAGAUGAUCCUGAGAUGAAGGUGGAGCGUUACGAGUGCACCUUUGAUCAAAACGAGGAGCUAGGGCUCAAUGACAUGAAGAUAGAAGGCUAUGAGGCUGGCCUGGCUCCACAGUGGUAGCAGUGGACGGUCACACGUGGGCCAGUCUCCAGAGCUGCUAAUACCACAGGGUUAUUUAUUACUAUUGGAAUAAGGCUGGGAGUGUCCUCCCCACCAGCCCUUGCUCAUGGUGAGGAGGACACCUGGUCUGAGUCAGAGACCUACGCACGCUUUCUUAACAGCUGGUGAUGCAAGUACAAGCCUAUUGUGUUAUUUGACCUUAUUUUAGAGGUUUUGAAUCUCCCUGGGAAGAAACCCAGAAAUGGACCGUGGGGCAUGUCAUUAUCACUUUUUUUCCUAUCAAGUCUUUACCAUCCCUCCACAUAAUACUCUGUCCUCUAAGGUUGUAACUCUGAAGUUGGAGAAGGUAGAAUAAAGUUACAGCUGGAAAAAAACAAAACAUCAGGAUAUUUUUUUUUCCCUUUCCCCCCUCCUUUUAUUUAUUGUACUUCCCCUCAUUUUGAUUUUUCUUUUUAUGGAACCUUAUGUGAAUGUUGUCUAACCAGAGUUGAUCUUCUAAUAGCUUAUUGUUUCUUUCCAACUGUUAAUUUCUUGCCUUUAUUUCGUGUUCUACAUCUGUGACUUUUCUUUUUCUUUUAAUUUUCCUUUUCUUGACAGAGUCUUGGUCUGUUGCCUGGGCUAGA